ACUUCAAGAAUUCCCCAUUUUUUGUUGCUGCUGCCGUGAAGUUCAAAAGAAAUUUUAGCAUCCAAGUUUAGUCAAGACGAGGUGAACAAAAAAAAGAAAGGAAAAAGAAUACGUUUGAAGCUUUUCAGAAGGUUAUAUUUUAGAUUGGUACAUAGCGUUAAGGACCUCCCAAGGCCAGGCUAAAGAAUCCGACCCUACGAGGCAACCUUCGGAGAGGCUCAAAGAACCCACCACUCUGUCCCCCGCUUUUUUCCAGGAUUCACAGCCAGCGCGGUUCAAACCUAAGACAUGAGACCAGCAAGAGCCCUUGCUUUACCAACUGGGCCACGCCUGCGGUGGUUUUUGUAUUAUUACCAUGUAUUAUAUUGUAUUUUUAUAUUAAUGUCUCACUAAAUCUAUACUUAGCGUGUAAUCAGUUUACACGUUGGUUGAUCGUAGUUAUCAGAAGUAAGGAGGAGUUGUGCAUCAUUUCCUAUUUG